rnacentral:rRNA from 1 species
UACGGAGGGUCCGAGCGUUAUCCGGAUUUAUUGGGCUUAAAGGGCGCGUAGGCGGCCUAUUAAGUCAGGGGUGAAAGACGGUAGCUUAACUAUCGCAGUGCCUUUGAUACUGAUAGGCUUGAAUGUACUUGAGGUAGGCGGAAUGUGACAAGUAGCGGUGAAAUGCAUAGAUAUGUCACAGAACACCAAUUGCGAAGGCAGCUUACUAAAGUAUGAUUGACGCUGAGGCACGAAAGCGUGGGGAUCAAACAGG